AAUCCAUGCAUUGGACAUUUUUGAACUAACUCCUUAAAUCGUUCCCAAGCUUUAUAUAGCAUCUCAUCCUCCAUCUAUUGAAAAAAUGUAAUAUCGUUUCUCAACUU
rfam:Gossypium hirsutum cultivar TM-1 chromosome 6, whole genome shotgun sequence